GACGAACGCUGGCGGCGUGCUUAACACAUGCAAGUCGAACGGAAAGGCCCUGCUUUUGUGGGGUGCUCGAGUGGCGAACGGGUGAGUAAAACGUGAGUAACCUGCCCUUGACUUUGGGAUAACUCCAGGAAACUGGGGCUAAUACCGGAUAGGAGCUCCUGCUGCACGGUGGGGGUUGGAAAGUUUCGGCGGUUGGGGAUGGACUCGCGGCUUAUCAGCUUGUUGGUGGGGUAGUGGCUUACCAAGGCUUUGACGGGUAGCCGGCCUGAGAGGGUGACCGGCCACAUUGGGACUGAGAUACGGCCCAGACUCCUACGGGAGGCAGCAGUGGGGAAUAUUGCACAAUGGGCGGAAGCCUGAUGCAGCAACGCCGCGUGCGGGAUGACGGCCUUCGGGUUGUAAACCGCUUUCGCCUGUGACGAAGCGUGAGUGACGGUAAUGGGUAAAGAAGCACCGGCUAACUACGUG
rnacentral:rRNA from 1 species